rnacentral:rRNA from 1 species
GAUCUAGUGGCGGACGGGUGAGUAACACGUGAGCAAUCUGCCUUUCAGAGGGGGAUACCGAUUGGAAACGAUCGUUAAUACCGCAUAACAUAAUUGAACCGCAUGAUUUGAUUAUCAAAGAUUUAUCGCUGAAAGAUGAGCUCGCGUCUGAUUAGCUAGUUGGUAAGGUAACGGCUUACCAAGGCGACGAUCAGUAGCCGGACUGAGAGGUUGAUCGGCCACAUUGGGACUGAGACACGGUCCAGACUCC